rnacentral:tRNA from 1 species
UGGGGUGUCGCCAAGUGGUAAGGCAACGGACUCUGACUCCGUCAUCGCAGGUUCGAAUCCUGCUACCCCUGCCA